rnacentral:rRNA from 1 species
GAGUUUGAUCAUGGCUCAGAUUGAACGCUGGCGGAAUGCUUUACACAUGCAAGUCGAACGGCAGCACGGGGCAACCUGGUGGCGAGUGGCGAACGGGUGAGUAAUACAUCGGAACGUGCCCAAUCGUGGGGGAUAACGUAGCGAAAGUUACGCUAAUACCGCAUACGAUCUACGGAUGAAAGCGGGGAUCGCAAGACCUCGCGCGAAUGGAGCGGCCGAUGUCAGAUUAGGUAGUUGGUGGGGUAAAGGCCCACCAAGCCAACGAUCUGUAGCUGGUCUGAGAGGACGACCAGCCACACUGGAACUGAGACACGGUCCAGACUCCUACGGGAGGCAGCAGUGGGAAUUUUGGACAAUGGGCGCAAGCCUGAUCCAGCCAUUCCGCGUGCAGGAUGAAGGCCUUCGGGUUGUAAACUGCUUUGUACGGAACGAAAAGGUCCUGGUUAAUACCUGGGGCUCAUGACGGUACCGUAAGAAUAAGCACCGGCUAACUACGUG